GAUGAACGCUGGCGGCGUGCCUAACACAUGCAAGUCGAGCGGCAGCACGGGGUGCUUGCACCCUUUCGGCUAGCGGCGGACGGCUGAGUAACGCGUGGAUACGUUCCCCAUAUUACGGAGUAAAUGCCGGAAAGGGUAGCUAAUUACGCAUGUUAUCUUCGUAUCGCAGGAUUCAUCCGCUUUUGGAGCGUUUCGCGUCGGAUUUGGUAGUUGGUGAGUUAGUGGCUCACCGAGGUGAGGUUCCGUAAAUGGGCUGAGAGGAUGACCAGCCACACUGGAACUGAGACACGGUCCAGACUCCGAAGGGAGGCAACAGUAGGGAAUCUUACGCAAUGAGCGAAAGCCUGAUCGAGCAACACCGCGUGAGUGAUGAAGGAGUUCGGCUGGUAAAACGCUGUUGGUCGGAAAGAAGAAAAGUGCUUUUAUAAGUGAGGGAUAUGACGGUAACUAAUGAAUAAGCACCGGCUAACUACGUG
rnacentral:rRNA from 1 species